GAGAGUCUAACACACCAGAUCUUUUGAAGUAAUGAUAAGCGGGCAUGGUCUGUGGAGCAGAGAAGCCAUAGCACAGAGCAGAAUGGGGAGAAAGAGCUGCAACACCUUGGCAGGAGGAAAUCCAGUGGAUGUCUUGAUGAACUGUUUGUGAGGUUGACUAAGAAGCAACAGGACAAUUCAAGGUGAGAUUGUGUUUGGUUUUUGCAUGGCCUUUUGAACAAACUUGAAGAGCAUUCCUUCUGACCCACCAUCAAGAAGGUGAAAGAGUGAAGCAGAACAAGGACCAGAUACAGACUGAUGUCUUCAGCUUCCAAUUUUCAUUUUAGUAAAGGGGGAAUUAUCUGAAGCAGAAAUUCAAAUAUUGUUCUCCUUAAGAAAAGUC